CCUGAGAUCAUGACCUGAGCCGAAAUCAAGAGCAGAAUGUUCAACGAAAUGAGCCACCCAGGCUGUCCUUUUCCCAGUGAAUGGUCUUGGCACCCUUGGUGGAAAUCAAGUGACCAGCUGGUGAGCUCUGAUUUGGACAAUCCUUCUGUGCUGUUUUCCUCGGAAGCUGCGGUCGUUAGCAGCUUGGACCCUUGAGCCCUCCGUUUGAAUUACUGACUCCAGCAGCAAGUGACUUCAACUCUCUGCCUCAGUUUCUUCAUCUGUAAGGUGGGGAUGAUAAUACUUCCUACCUCCUGGGGUGGCUGAGAGGAUUAAGUAAUUUAAUGUAUUAUGUGAAGUGCCUAGAACAGUGUCUGCUGUAUAAUCCAUCCUAAGUGUUAACCAUUUAUUUUUAUUAUUUAAAGCCAUUUUUAAAAAUAUUUUUUU